ACGGAAGGCAGCAGUGGGGAAUAUUGCACAAUGGGCGCAAGCCUGACGCAGCGAUGCCGCGUGAGGGAAGAAGGUUUUCGGAUUGUAAACCUCUGUCAUCGGGGACGAUAAUGACUGUACCCGUGAAGGAAGCUCCGGCUAACUACGUGCCAGCAGCCGCGGCAAUACGUAGGGAGCGAGCGUUAUCCGGAAUUACUGGGUGUAAAGGGAGUGUAGGCGGGACUGUAAGUCAGAUGUGAAAUAUACCGGCUCAACUGGUAGACUGCAUUUGAAACUGCGGUUCUUGAGUGAAGUAGAGGUAAGCGGAAUUCCUAGUGUGGCGGUGAAAUGCGUAGAUAUUAGGAGGAACAUCAGUGGCGAAGGCGGCUUACUGGGCUUUAACUGACGCUGAGGCUCGAAAGCGUGGGGAGCAAACAGGAUUAGAUACCCUGGUA
rnacentral:rRNA from 1 species